rnacentral:rRNA from 1 species
UCGCCUACGGGAGGCUGCAGUUAAGAAUCUUGCGCAAUGGGGGAAACCCUGACGCAGCGACGCCGCGUGAAGGAUGAAGGCUUUCGGGUUGUAAACUUCGGUAGACUGGGAAGAAGAAAUACGUUCGUUGAGGGCGUAUAGUGACGGUACCAGUCUGAAGCCCCGGCUAAUUACGUGCCAGCAGCCGCGGUAAUACGUAUGGGGCAAGCGUUGUUCGGAAUUAUUGGGCGUAAAGGGCUCGCAGGUGGUUUGUUAAGUUGGGGGUGUAAUCUCUGGGCUCAACCCAGAGUCAGCCUUCAAAACUGGCGAACUUGAGUACGAUAGGGGAUAGCGGAAUUCUCGGUGUAGCGGUGGAAUGCGUAGAUAUCGAGAGGAACACCAAUGGCGAAGGCAGCUAUCUGGAUCGUAACUGACACUCAUGAGCGAAAGUGCGGGGAGCAAACAGGAUUAGAUACCCUGGUAGUCC